rnacentral:rRNA from 1 species
AGCGAACGCUGGCGGCAGGCUUAACACAUGCAAGUCGAGCGGGCAUAGCAAUAUGUCAGCGGCAGACGGGUGAGUAACGCGUGGGAACGUACCCUUCGGUUCGGAACAACACAGGGAAACUUGUGCUAAUACCGGAUAAGCCCUUACGGGGAAAGAUUUAUCGCCGAAAGAUCGGCCCGCGUCUGAUUAGCUAGUUGGUGAGGUAAUGGCUCACCAAGGCGACGAUCAGUAGCUGGUCUGAGAGGAUGAUCAGCCACAUUGGGACUGAGACACGGCCCAAACUCCUACGGGAGGCAGCAGUGGGGAAUAUUGGAUAAUGGGCGAAAGCCUGAUCCAGCAAUGCCGCGUGAGUGAUGAAGGCCUUAGGGUUGUAAAGCUCUUUUACCAGGGAUGAUAAUGACAGUACCGGGAGAAUAAGCUCCGGCUAACUCCGUGCCAGCAGCCGCCGUAA